GGUUAAGCGACUAAGCGUACACGGUGGAUGCCCUGGCAGUCAGAGGCGAUGAAGGACGUGCUAAUCUGCGAAAAGCGCCGGCGAGGUGAUAUGAACCUUUGACCCGGCGAUGUCCGAAUGGGGAAACCCAGUGCAAUUCGUUGCACUAUCGUUAACUGAAUACAUAGGUUAACGAGGCGAACCGGGGGAACUGAAACAUCUAAGUACCCCGAGGAAAAGAAAUCAACCGAGAUUCCCCCAGUAGCGGCGAGCGAACGGGGAGCAGCCCAGAGUCUGAAUCAGCUUGUGUGUUAGUGGAAGCGUCUGGAAAGUCGCACGGUACAGGGUGACAGUCCCGUACACGAAAGCACACAGGCUGUGAACUCGAAGAGUAGGGCGGGACACGUGGUAUCCUGUCUGAAUAUGGGGGACCAUCCUCCAAGGCUAAAUACUCCUGACUGACCGAUAGUGAACCAGUACCGUGAGGGAAAGGCGAAAAGAACCCCGGCGAGGGGAGUGAAAAAGAACCUGAAACCGUGUACGUACAAGCAGUGGGAGCACCUUCGUGGUGUGACUGCGUACCUUUUGUAUAAUGGGUCAGCGACUUAUAUUCUGUAGCAAGGUUAACCGUAUAGGGGAGCCGAAGGGAAACCGAGUCUUAACUGGGCGUUAAGUUGCAGGGUAUAGACCCGAAACCCGGUGAUCUAGCCAUGGGCAGGUUGAAGGUUGGGUAACACUAACUGGAGGACCGAACCGACUAAUGUUGAAAAAUUAGCGGAUGACUUGUGGCUGGGGGUGAAAGGCCAAUCAAACCGGGAGAUAGCUGGUUCUCCCCGAAAGCUAUUUAGGUAGCGCCUCGUGAACUCAUCUUCGGGGGUAGAGCACUGUUUCGGCUAGGGGGCCAUCCCGGCUUACCAACCCGAUGCAAACUACGAAUACCGAAGAAUGUUAUCACGGGAGACACACGGCGGGUGCUAACGUCCGUCGUGAAGAGGGAAACAACCCAGACCGCCAGCUAAGGUCCCAAAGUCAUGGUUAAGUGGGAAACGAUGUGGGAAGGCACAGACAGCCAGGAUGUUGGCUUAGAAGCAGCCAUCAUUUAAAGAAAGCGUAAUAGCUCACUGGUCGAGUCGGCCUGCGCGGAAGAUGUAACGGGGCUAAACCAUGCACCGAAGCUGCGGCAGCGACGCUUAUGCGUUGUUGGGUAGGGGAGCGUUCUGUAAGCCGUUGAAGGUGUGCUGUGAGGCAUGCUGGAGGUAUCAGAAGUGCGAAUGCUGACAUAAGUAACGAUAAAGCGGGUGAAAAGCCCGCUCGCCGGAAGACCAAGGGUUCCUGUCCAACGUUAAUCGGGGCAGGGUGAGUCGACCCCUAAGGCGAGGCCGAAAGGCGUAGUCGAUGGGAAACAGGUUAAUAUUCCUGUACUUGGUGUUACUGCGAAGGGGGACGGAGAAGGCUAUGUUAGCCGGGCGACGGUUGUCCCGGUUUAAGCAUGUAGGCGGAACGAUUAGGUAAAUCCGGUCGUUUAUUAACGCUGAGGUGUGAUGACGAGGCACUACGGUGCUGAAGUAACAAAUGCCCUGCUUCCAGGAAAAGCCUCUAAGCAUCAGGUAACACGAAAUCGUACCCCAAACCGACACAGGUGGUCAGGUAGAGAAUACCAAGGCGCUUGAGAGAACUCGGGUGAAGGAACUAGGCAAAAUGGUGCCGUAACUUCGGGAGAAGGCACGCUGAUAUGUAGGUGAAGCCCCUGCGGGUGGAGCUGAAAUCAGUCGAAGAUACCAGCUGGCUGCAACUGUUUAUUAAAAACACAGCACUGUGCAAACACGAAAGUGGACGUAUACGGUGUGACGCCUGCCCGGUGCCGGAAGGUUAAUUGAUGGGGUUAGCGGCAACGCGAAGCUCUUGAUCGAAGCCCCGGUAAACGGCGGCCGUAACUAUAACGGUCCUAAGGUAGCGAAAUUCCUUGUCGGGUAAGUUCCGACCUGCACGAAUGGCGUAAUGAUGGCCAGGCUGUCUCCACCCGAGACUCAGUGAAAUUGAACUCGCUGUGAAGAUGCAGUGUACCCGCGGCAAGACGGAAAGACCCCGUGAACCUUUACUAUAGCUUGACACUGAACACUGGUCCUUGAUGUGUAGGAUAGGUGGGAGGCUUUGAAGCGUGGACGCCAGUCUGCGUGGAGCCAACCUUGAAAUACCACCCUUUAAUGGCUGGUGUUCUAACGUAGACCCGUAAUCCGGGUUGCGGACAGUGUCUGGUGGGUAGUUUGACUGGGGCGGUCUCCUCCCAAAGAGUAACGGAGGAGCACGAAGGUUAGCUAAUCCUGGUCGGACAUCAGGAGGUUAGUGCAAUGGCAUAAGCUAGCUUGACUGCGAGAGUGACGGCUCGAGCAGGUGCGAAAGCAGGUCAUAGUGAUCCGGUGGUUCUGAAUGGAAGGGCCAUCGCUCAACGGAUAAAAGGUACUCCGGGGAUAACAGGCUGAUACCGCCCAAGAGUUCAUAUCGACGGCGGUGUUUGGCACCUCGAUGUCGGCUCAUCACAUCCUGGGGCUGAAGUAGGUCCCAAGGGUAUGGCUGUUCGCCAUUUAAAGUGGUACGCGAGCUGGGUUUAGAACGUCGUGAGACAGUUCGGUCCCUAUCUGCCGUGGGCGCUGGAGAAUUGAGGGGGCUGCUCCUAGUACGAGAGGACCGGAGUGGACGCAUCACUGGUGUUCGGGUUGUCAUGCCAAUGGCACUGCCCGGUAGCUAAAUGCGGAAAAGAUAAGUGCUGAAAGCAUCUAAGCACGAAACUUGCCCCGAGAUGAGUUCUCCCUGACCCUUUAAGGGUCCUGAAGGAACGUUGAAGACUACGACGUUGAUAGGUCGGGUGUGUAAGCGCAGCGAUGCGUUGAGCUAACCGAUACUAAUGAACCGUGAGGCUUAACCUU
rnacentral:rRNA from 1 species